GGGAACUAUAUCUAGUGACUUGUGAUGGAACAUGAUGGAGGAUAAUGUGAGAAAAAGAAUGUAUAUAUGUAUGUGUGACUGGAUCACUUUGCUGUACAGUAGAAAUUGACAGAACACUGUAAACCAACUCUAAUGGAAAAAAAAAUCAUUUUUAAAAAAUUUUAAAAGAAGAAAUAUUCAUUUCUUCGAAUGAGUACUGUUUUAUUAAUCAGCUGUGUGCUUGUUUAAUGACCCUCAGCUGGGUAACUUGCUUAAUUCUUUGUGCUGAAGCUAUCUCAGAGAAUUGCAAAUUCUCUCUCCUACUUUUUCUCAGUUAUGAAGCAUCUCCGGUUGUUUUGUCCAUAGACUCCUUGCUACGGUGUGGCUUUCUAGUGCCUCCAAAAACUCCAUGGUGCAGAGGGUAUGUAGGCAGAACUCUUGGUUGCCUUCUAAAGCCAAAGAAGAAAAUGAAAAACUCUUAUUUGAUGGAGGGUUCCCAGGUGUAGAAAUUCGGUUGAUUGCAUUCUUUCAUUUGUUCGUUUGUUUUCUGAAAGAUAGGCUGCCCAAGGUCCUGUGGCUCCUGUGGCUAGAUUUAGGGUCAAUGAAGGCCUAAGGACAAGUGGAUCUUAAAAAUGUAGAGUUUACUGUUUUGUUUUUCCUCAUUGAUUUGGUGAGAGUACUUGAAUACAAUGAAACAUCAAAGACAGCUUUGACAAAAACAAAAAUUAUUAUGGAGACAGACAGACAUGAUAGAAAUACUACUGCAUUUGUGAUGUGACUGGGGUUAGAAUUCUGGUUCUUCUCAUUUUAGCUGUUUGACCUUGGUGCUGUCAUUUACCUUCCUAUAUAAUGGGAGAUUUUGAUCCUAUAUUACUGUGUAUCAUUCGUAAAGAACAUUAAAGCUGACAUGAUUAAUUAUUUUUGUAUUAUCUUUACUUUGAGUUUCCAUUUUUAGGAAUUAGAAGGGUUAGAGAGUUACUCCAGAAAAAAAAAUGUAUGUAUGCCUAUUUUGAUAAAAUGAGAGAAUUCAGUACCUUGCAAUGCCUGAAAAAUCCAUCACAAUUUAACAUAUACUAUUUUCUUCUGUGAGAAUAGGUAAAAUAAUUUUAACCUUCUGUAUAUGCCUUCCCCAGAUCUAUACCUAGAUUAUUAAUUCAGUUAUGCUCCUAAUUUAGGGUGUGAUAUUGGGCGAGAUACUUUAUAUAUCCCUAGAUGUGUGAAUUUAUAAGGAAAUGAACACGCUGCAUUCGGAUGACCAGCAAAAACUUCCUGCUGCUCUGCAUUUUGUUCAGUUAUCAAUUGUACUAAGUCUGCUCCCCAUUCUUUCAUUUUAUCAUCACUGCCCCUGGGAAUUUUCAGAGCGUUCAUUUUUACCUAAAUUCCGUGACUUCUUCAAGACCGUGUCCUCAUGGCAGAGUGUCCAGUGUGGUGUCACUCGUGUGAACCUCAGUUCCUCAAGUCUGAUGAGGUUUCUUUUGUUCGGUACUGUGUUCUUCAUGUGCCUUUGUGCAAAUGGUUAGGGUGGAAAGAUUGGAUUGUGUGACCUUUGGAGUCCUCCCUUGCAGCAAUCGUGUUUAUUAAUUGGAUUGAACUGUGGCGAUGUCUCUGCACUUGGCAAUAAGUUCCUAUCUGUGAAAUCAUAGACUCAUAAAAAUAUUAGUUGGUUAUUUAUUUAUUUAGUUAUUGCUUUUUAGGACUGCACGCACAGCAUAAGGAAAUUCCUAAGCUAGGAGUCAAAUCAAAUCGGAGCUACAGCUGCCAGCCUGUGCCAGAGCCACAGCAAUGCCAGGUUCAAGCCAUGUCUGUGACCUACAGCACAGCUCAUGGCAUCGCUGGAUUCUUAACCCACUGAGUGAGGCCAGGGAUUGAACCCGCAUCCUCUUGGAUACCGGUUGGGUUUGUUACCACUGCACCAUGACGGGAACUCCUGUUGGCUGGUUUUUAGAAGUCGUAAACUCCAUGCCCACACAGUAUCUGUCCUCAUCAACAUCUAGCCUCUGUUUGAAUACCUCUUGGGAGGGAGGGAGGAGGUAUAUCUUCUCAACAGGAUUUAUACCCUUCAUGGAUGGAUCUAAUUUCUAGAAAAUUCCUUUUACAUUGUGUAAAAACCUCUCUCCAUCAAUUUCCCCCUCCUCCUGUGAUUAUUAUUGUUGUUGUCAUUAUUAUUAUUGUUCUACUACUACUAUUACUACUGUUGUUAUUAUUAUUGUCUUCUAGAACAAAACAGAAGAAUACUUAUCAUUCUUAUAUAUUAUAGCCUACAAGUUGGGGAUCAAUAUUAUGCCUGCCUUUCUGUUAUCUUUAGCCCUCAAAAUGUUCCAUUUUAUGCCUCUAGGGCAUCUCAUUCAGGACAAUCCCAUUUUAUGCCUUUUAUCCCAGCAUCAGUAUUAAUGGCAUCUCCUUUCAUUCUAAAUAUUUUCCUAAUAGGCCAAUAAAUUAUAUAUUCCCUCCAUGCCUCUAUAAUAGUGUGUACCAAAUUUAUUCUGCAGAUUUCUAGAUCUCAAGAGUGUUCUAUGAGAAAAGACGAAAACACAUUUAGGGAGCAUUUGAAUGUACCAUCACCCUUCCUGUAGAUUCACAGAGAACAUUACUGAGAAUUUCUGCAGGAAGGAAAUUGGUUUUAUUUUGUUUCUCCUACUGUUUUUCAAACCUUUAAAAUCAUGAAAAUAUAUAUUGUUCCCAGAAAAACAGCUUGAAAGUCUCUCUUUUAGAAACACAGCCUAGGUGAAUUUUGAAUUUUAAUUCAAGUUAUGUUAAGAUUCUUUUCCAAAUUGUUAGACAGUUUUCCCCCGAAUAUUAACCACACUAGCUCUUUGUUUUCUGUCUGUAAAAUGAAGGAAUUUGGAUGGGCUCCGAAGCUCAACAAGUUGGAAAAAUCCUUGGCAACCAUUGCAGAAGAACCUCUCUCAUCUUACUUCUCCCGUGUUGGUAACUCAGGGUGACUCAGAAUCAGCAGGAUAUUAGGGAUAGAGGGAAUCCUUUGGCAUUAAUGCAGGCAUCAUUUCAUCCUGGGAGGACUGACCAAUCCUUCUACAAAUGGUAGCUGGAAACUGGAAACGAGUCAGGGGAUUUAAAGAAAAAUGAAGAGCAGUUAGCCAAAUGUGAUGUCAGAAACACGUCUCCAUGGAAACUGUGUUGUGAUGACCCCGUUAGCACUGAUUUGGUCUGUGUUCCCAUCUCCAGGAACUUAUCUUCCCAGGAUAGAGGGUACCACCUCCCAGUGGUCUCCUGCUUGGGAGAACCAUAGAUUUGUGCCUCUCUAGUCCCAAGCAUAGCUGUUAACCAAAACAGAAAUGGGCAAUAGACUUCCUCUCGAACAUCUUUUUUGGUUUUAAAAUCAAUACCUUUUAAAUGCCACUCAUUUAAUUGUGUUUGUCAAUUGAGUACAUUGGAUGUAAGUGCCAUUAUCACUUAUAAUUACAGAAAAGACCAACACAAUUACUGUUCAAUAGGCAUCACCAUUGGAAGGCAUAGAGAGCCAUAGAGAGUCGAUUUUAAAAUGGUCUGCUGAAGAUGACAUUUUUAAUUGUCUUUCAACUGCACUGACAUAAAUCACUUUGGCAAUACAUUUCUUGCAUUUGCAUAAUGACAGAGCACGACAAGAUUAGUUAUCAUUUUUAACUACUGGGUUUUCUGGCUUGAUGCUUGUCAUCACAUCUGCGUGUAUUCCCUUUCCAAGGCCGUGGUGACAUCACAUGCAUGCAUUUUCUGAACCGAAGAAAUGCACACUUUCCAGGGUCAGUAGUGAUUUUUUUAAAAAAAAAAAAAAAGCGGUGAGCAAAAGUGCCAGUUCACUCUAAAUAACUAAAUAAUAUGCAGAGGUUUAAAAGGACCAUCACACAAAGACACCUUAGAGCAUUUUCUACAAAAUUGACACACAGGCUUUUCUUUGUACAGUUGGCUUGUGCAUGCUGCCCUCUGUCUACAAAAUUCAAGAAAAAUAAAUUUCUACCUUAAAUUGUCUAGUAAGAGCAGGCUGUUACAAGUACAUGUGUUCUGUAACUUGCUGGACUUUUCUUUGCGGGGUUAGAGAGACCUUUUCCCAUCUAAGAAUAAGUUGUAUUUCUCUAAAGAUCACUGUGGAUCACUGUUUUUGGAACUUGGAACAUAUUCUGUCUUAAAAAGAGUUGCAUAAAUAGUAAGCAGACUCUCGGCAGUUUUCCUGCCGUCUUGCCUAAGCUGUGUGUUUGGUUGUAAGAAGGGUUAGGAGGGGAGACUCUUGAAAUAGCUGCGUUUGAGUCCUUAGGACAAGCCUGAGUUUCUUGUCCUGGGAGCUGGGACAGAAAUUUAUGAGGCUGUCCCUUUUCCUCCACUCCUAAGUGCCACUCCCCUGUUGCAUUGCUCCCAUGAUUGCAGAGUCAUGGAGAGCCGAGGAGGCAUACUCCACUCCAGAUCUAACUUAUCUGCCCUGCAUCCGGAUGUCUGUGUCCUUCAUACCUGCUUCCAUUUUGAGGAGCACCUUCUCAAAGGAUGGAAUCCUGAAAUAGCUUUUCAACCUACUAGGUUAUUGGAAUCCCCCAGGAGCUGUUAUCAGCCUCUUCCUUUGCAGCCCCUGACUUCCCAGGUAAGAAGUGGGCCUGGCCACACACACACCC
rnacentral:lncRNA from 1 species